ensembl:lincRNA 4930584F24Rik RIKEN cDNA 4930584F24 gene
AGUGUUCUUAGCCUGAGGGCAACUCAGAGUCCAGCAAGAAGGGCUGGGAUUCACAGCAAGCUCAUGUGUCUAGGAUGAUGACGUUCCUUCCAGGAAGAGAACUGGAUGUGAUAUUGUUCCCAAGGAAUGAGCCAAGAGAAGCUAUGAGGAACAAAUAUUUUUUGAAAAUAACUCAGGCCAUAUCCUGUUCACCAAGAAUCUUGGACUAAACAAAAAUCAAUCCAGUUUGGUUAACUGACAUAUGGACAUAUUAUACCCUCCAAGAAGGGGUAUAUAUCCUCCAAGUAACAUCCUAAGUUCUGAGCUAUAGUUACCCAGCUCUUCCCAGUCCUGAAAAUAGCCUUGCAGACUCUGAAUGCAAUGCACUUAGGCUAUCAUCAGAGGAAAGCAUGCUUGUAUUUCAUUAACACCAGUGUAUAGCCCAGUCAGAACAUGGACCCAUAACAGCCUAGGAUACACUAAACCUCAGGAGUCAUGGACCAAGCCCUGUUCCUGUAUAAUCCCAGGAUGAACCAAGCAAGUCUCCAAAAGACACAAGGAUGUAUCCUGAAAACAAAAGUCCCAGGCAAAACGUUCAAACACAAAGAUUCUGGCAUCAGGAACUUCUUGAGUUGCUAUUUAUGGAAGUUCAAGAGGUUCCCCCAAACAAUAUAAGUGACCUUGGAAACCAUAUACUUCUGCUGUUGGCUGUCCCGUUCAGCCUGUCCUCUUCACUGUGCAGGAACCAUCCAAGGGACUGCAUGCCAAGGACUGGGGAAUCACUACAAGUCAUUUGAAGAUUCACUACCUUUUCUGAAGCUUGGAAGGAAAAACAUAAUGAAUAAGCCCACGAUGAUUUGGUGCUUUUAAUGUUUUUUUUUGUUUGUUUGUUUGCUUGUUUGUCUUUUCAAUCCUUCAUGUUGUGUUGACUUAUCCCAAGGCAUCAUUAUCAACCAAAGACCUGCAAUAAACCAGCCAUUCUCAC